GUGCUGAUUGGUUUACUAUUUUUAAUUGCAGGUGAUUGAAGAAAGAUGCUGGGCGGCGGACUUCAACGAUCGGUCGCCUCACUGUACAUAAGAAUGAUGCCACACUCGGAUGCUGGUGAGGGCUCCGAUAGGGGUUCCGAGUUGGGGCGAGGCAAGGGUCGAGGGAAGGGUGGACCCAAGAGGGGUGGAGGGAAGGGUGGAGGCAGGAGGCGUCGAGAGCCUUCGCCUGUACCGCCGUCUGAGGAGGAGGAGGAGGAGGAGGAGGAGCCUGCCCAGGACCAGGAGCAGGAGCGGGAGGAGGAGUGGCAGGCGGACGCGCAGGAGGGGGGGGGGGAGUCGUCUGAGGAGGAGGACACGGCCGAGGAUACCUCUACGCCGGCUGUCUGGUUGUGAGGUCCCUCGCGACUCCCAGAUAGGCCGAUACCUGUUGCCUUGCGCCCGCUGAUUCAACCGUGCGGGGAUAUGAGUUGGACUGUCCUCAGUGGCGGUGCUCACAAACGCAAGGUCAACGGCAUCCUGGGUCUUUUGUGCAGGGAGCACUUCCCAGGCCUGGUCCACUAUCAAGGACGGUACGAGCCGGCCUAGACGUGGGACCACUACAUCGCCGCCAACAACGAUCAGUUGGAUCGGAGCCGCAGAGCCUUUGAGAACAAGGCGGAGCGGGUAAAGGGCGAGCUCUGGGAUUUUUACAGGUGUGAUGAGGGAUACGAGGAGCGGGCGGCGAUUGUGGCUCACAAUCGAUGCGUUAAACUCAUGAA